CAGUCGCCGCGGUAAAACGGAGGGCGCGAGCGUUACCCGGAUUUACUGGGCGUAAAGGGCGUGUAGGCGGCCUGGGGCGUCCCAUGUGAAAGGCCACGGCUCAACCGUGGAGGAGCGUGGGAUACGCUCAGGCUAGAGGGUGGGAGAGGGUGGUGGAAUUCCCGGAGUAGCGGUGAAAUGCGCAGAUACCGGGAGGAACGCCGAUGGCGAAGGCAGCCACCUGGUCCACUUCUGACGCUGAGGCGCGAAAGCGUGGGGAGCAAACCGGAUUAGAUACCCCCGUAGUCCCUGUCUCUUAUAC
rnacentral:rRNA from 1 species